AGAAUGUUAUCACGGGAGACACACGGCGGGUGCUAACGUCCGUCGUGAAGAGGGAAACAACCCAGACCGCCAGCUAAGGUCCCAAAGUCAUGGUUAAGUGGGAAACGAUGUGGGAAGGCCCAGACAGCCAGGAUGUUGGCUUAGAAGCAGCCAUCAUUUAAAGAAAGCGUAAUAGCUCACUGGUCGAGUCGGCCUGCGCGGAAGAUGUAACGGGGCUAAACCAUGCAC
rnacentral:rRNA from 1 species